rnacentral:rRNA from 1 species
CCUACGGGAGGCAGCAGUGGGGAAUAUUGGACAAUGGGGGCAACCCUGAUCCAGCCAUGCCGCGUGUGUGAAGAAGGCCCUCGGGUUGUAAAGCACUUUCAGUGAGGAAGAACGCCUGGUGGUUAAUACCCAUCAGGAAAGACAUCACUCACAGAAGAAGCACCGGCUAACUCCGUGCCAGCAGCCGCGGUAAUACGGAGGGUGCGAGCGUUAAUCGGAAUUACUGGGCGUAAAGCGCGCGUAGGUGGCUUGAUAAGCCGGUUGUGAAAGCCCCGGGCUCAACCUGGGAACGGCAUCCGGAACUGUCAAGCUAAAGUGCAGGAGAGGAAGGUAGAAUUCCCGGUGUAGCGGGGAAAUGCGUAGAGAUCGGGAGGAAUACCAGUGGCGAAGGCGGCCUUCUGGACUGACACUGACACUGAGGUGCGAAAGCGUGGGUAGCAAACAGGAUUAGAUACCCUAGUAGUC